CCUACGGGUGGCAGCAGUGGGGAAUAUUGCACAAUGGGGGAAACCCUGAUGCAGCGACGCCGCGUGAGUGAAGAAGUAUUUCGGUAUGUAAAGCUCUAUUAGCAGGGAAGAAAAUGACGGUACCUGAUUCAGAAGCCCCGGCUAACUACGUGCCAGCAGCCGCGGGAAUACGUAGGGGGCAAGCGUUAUCCGGAUUUACUGGGUGUAAGGGGAGCGUAGACGGCAGCGCAGGGCUGAAGUGAAAUUCCGGGGCUUAACCCCGGAACUGCUUUGGAAACUGUGCAGCUAGAGUGCAGGAGAGGUAAAUGGAAUUCCUAGUGUAGCGGUGAAAUGCGUAGAUAUUAGGAGGAACACCAGUGGCGAAGGCAGCUUACUGGACUGUAACUGACGUUGAGGCUCGAAAGCGUGGGGAGCAAACAGGAUUAGAUACCCGGGUAGUC
rnacentral:rRNA from 1 species